GAUGAACGCUGGCGGCGUGCUUAACACAUGCAAGUCGAACGGUGAAGCCAAGCUUGCUUGGUGGAUCAGUGGCGAACGGGUGAGUAACACGUGAGCAACCUGCCCUGGACUCUGGGAUAAGCGCUGGAAACGGCGUCUAAUACUGGAUAUGAGACGUGAUCGCAUGGUCAACGUUUGGAAAGAUUUUUCGGUCUGGGAUGGGCUCGCGGCCUAUCAGCUUGUUGGUGAGGUAAUGGCUCACCAAGGCGUCGACGGGUAGCCGACCUGAGAGGGGGGCCAGCCACACGGGGGCUGAGACACGGCCCAGACUCCUACGGGAGGCAGCAGUGGGGAAUAUUGCACAAUGGGCGGAAGCCUGAUGCAGCAACGCCGCGUGAGGGAUGACGGCCUUCGGGUUGUAAACCUCUUUUAGCAGGGAAGAAGCGAAAGUGACGGUACCUGCAGAAAAAGCGCCGGCUAACUACGUGCCAGCAGCCGCAGUAA
rnacentral:rRNA from 1 species